ACUCCUACGGGAGGAGCAGGCGGGAUAUUGCGCAAUGGAGGAAACUCUGACGCAUGACGCCGCGUAUAGGAAGAAGGUUUCGGAUUGUAAACUAUUGUCGUUAGGGAAGAUACAAGACAGUACCUAAGGAGGAAGCUCCGGCUAACUACGUGCCAGCAGCCGCGGUAAU
rnacentral:rRNA from 1 species